rnacentral:rRNA from 1 species
UAGGGAAUAUUGGACAAUGGGGGCAACCCUGAUCUAGCCAUGCCGCGUGAGUGAAGAAGGCCCUCGGGUUGUAAAGCUCUCUUGUCCGGAAAGAAAAGCAUUCGGUGAAUACCCGGAUGUUCUGACGGUACCGGAAGAAUAAGCACCGGCUAACUUCGUGCCAGCAGCCGCGGUAAUACGAAGGGUGCAAGCGUUACUCGGAAUUACUGGGCGUAAAGCGUGCGUAGGUGGUUGUUUAAGUCUGAUGUGAAAGCCCUGGGCUCAACCUGGGAAUGGCAUUGGAAACUGGGCAGCUAGAGUGCGGUAGAGGGUAGUGGAAUUCCCGGUGUAGCAGUGAAAUGCGUAGAGAUCGGGAGGAACAUCUGUGGCGAAGGCGACUGCCUGGACCAGCACUGACACUGAGGCACGAAAGCGUGGGGAGCAAACA